CAGCCGCCGCGGGAAUACCAGCACCUCGAGUGGUCAGGAGGUUUAUUGGGCCUAAAGCAUCCGUAGCCGGUUGCAUAAGUUUUCGGUUAAAUCUAUGCGCUUAACGUAUAGGCCGCCGAAAAUACUGUGCAGCUAGGGAGUGGGAGAGGUACACGGUACUCGAUAGGAAGGGGUAAAAUCCUUUGAUCUAUUGAUGGCCACCUGUGGCGAAGGCGGUGUACCAGAACACGUUCGACGGUGAGGGAUGAAAGCUGGGGGAGCAAACCGGAUUAGAUACCCGUGUAGUCCCUGUCUCUUAUAC
rnacentral:rRNA from 1 species